rnacentral:lncRNA from 1 species
GCCGGGGCCCGGCCUGAGGCUGAGAUGGGAAGAAGCGGGCCGGUUACAUCUCUUAGCAUCGCUGCUGCUGCUCUUUGCUUUUCUAAAGCGUUACCUUACGUGGGUACUUUGCUCGGGCUGGCUCCCAGCGGCACGUUUGUUGUGAACUACUCUGCAGUCUGCAGCCCAGCCAGAACCGGGAGGGACACCCCACGUUUUGCCUGACGCCUUUUCCUUCCAAGGCUGGAGCUGCCUCAGUCUAGCUGCUGGAACACACCCAGCAUUCCAUGAGCAAGCAACAACAACUACUCUUUUAUUGUAUCCAACUUUUAUUACAUGCAGUUGGGAACAUUUGACAAAUUUUGUUUUUCCUUUAAAAAGCUCUUAUUCUCAAUUAUGAAGGUAACAAGAACAAAUGCAAAAAUAUCCAUCUAUGCUUCAGUUGUUUCUCCCUGGAGAAUGGACAGUUCCCUCAAAAAUCUGCCUUCCAUGUAGUAUUUCACCUAGGCAACCCCCUUAGUGCAGAACUGGGAUACUUUUUCUGACAUCAUGGGAUUACCAGCAAUUACAGAAAGGUCUCGAGCUGGAUCAGCUGAUUUCAUAACAGUGAGCAUCACAACUUGGGUAGAAUCACUAGGUUUCCAGUAAUGAAAUUAUCUCCUUUCCAUCUGUUCCAUGCAUACUGCCACCCUUGUGAAUUUGUUCUUUUUCCAAACUCAGACUUACCUAUAGGCUGUUCCAAACCCAGUUAGGCCAUACAACUUCAUUAUGCUAAAAAUAUGUAAGCUAAUAGAUUUCUGGACUAUUUGGAUUUGAAAAAUGAUUGCUAAGAAGGGACUGGGGAUGGAUAACCACCACACCCCUGGGUUUAUACACAAGCAGAAUCACCCUCCUCCCAGACUGAAUGAUCUUAGAGAUGAUGCAUCUCUGAGCAUUCAUUUCAUGCCUGAGUGCUACAGAUGAAAGCUCAAUAUUCUUGGCUUGUACAACUCUUUGGAGUUAUUAUAUUAUUUCUUAAGUCUAAAUAUCUUCAGUUAUAUUGUCAAAAAAAAAAAAAACUCUUUUAAGAAAAUAAAUAGCUUUUUUAACUUUAAAAGUACUGUACAAGUUCUGCAUAUGUUAAGAGAAAGAUUACUGCCCAGAAGACAAAAUGAAAUUAAUAAGCAUAAAGCACAGUGGCUAAGUUGCAA